CCUACGGGAGGCAGCAGUGAGGAAUAUUGGUCAAUGGACGAGAGUCUGAACCAGCCAAGUAGCGUGAAGGAUGACUGCCCUAUGGGUUGUAAACUUCUUUUAUAAAGGAAUAAAACGAGGCACGUGUGCCUUUUUUCAUGUACUUUAUGAAUAAGGAUAGGCUAACUCCUUGACAGCAGCCGCGGUAAUACGGAGGAUCCGAGCGUUAUCCGGAUUUGUUGGUGUUAAAGGGAGCGUAGAUGGGUUGUUAAGUCAGUUGUGAAAUUUUGCGGCUUAAACGUAAAAUUGCAAGUGAUACUGGCAGUCUUGAGUACAGUAGAGGUAGGCGGAAUUCGUGGUGUAGCGGUGAAAUGCUUAGAUAUAACGAAGAACCCCGAUUGCGAAGGCAGCUUACUAAACUGUGACUGACAUUGAUGCUCGAAAGUGUGGGUAUCAAACAGGAUUAGAUACCCGGGUAGUC
rnacentral:rRNA from 1 species